GGCGUAGCGCAGCCUGGUAGCGUACUUGCAUGGGGUGCAAGGGGUCGAGUGUUCGAAUCACUCCGUCCCGACCA
rnacentral:tRNA from 1 species